AUGAUCCCAUGGGUGAAAUUUGUGCCCUUUUUAGUGCUCAUUGAAGGAGUUCAAUGUCAAGUACAGCUGGUGGAGUCCGGAGGGGAUGUGAGAAGACCUGGGGAGUCCCUCCGUCUCUCCUGCCAAGUUUCUGGAUUCACCUUCAGCAGCUACGGGAUGAACUGGGUGAGACAGGCUCCAGGGAAAGGAAUGGAAUGGAUGGCCGACAUACAUACAGGCUCAUCCCCUUCCACAUUCUACUCGGACAAAGUCAAGGGACGCUUCUCCAUCUCCAGAGACGAUGCCAAAAGCCAGAUGUACCUGCAAAUGAACAGCCUCAAACCGGAGGACACAGCAGUCCAUUACUGUGCGAAACACACAUUGAGAGGAAGUGAAUCUGAUGCCCAACAAAAACCUUCCUCUCUUCUGAGCAGCUUUCCAAAUUGA